GGACCCGCACAAGUAGUGGAGCAUGUGGUUUAAUUCGAAGAUACGCGCAGAACCUUACCAACACUUGACAUGUUCGUCGCGACUCUAAGAGAUUAGAGUUUUCGGUUCGGCCGGACGAAACACAGGUGCUGCAUGGCUGUCGUCAGCUCGUGUCGUGAGAUGUUGGGUUAAGUCCCGCAACGAGCGCAACCCUCACUUUUAGUUGCCAUCAUUUAGUUGGGCACUCUGAAAGAACUGCCAGUGAUAAGCUGGAGGAAGGUGGGGAUGACGUCAAGUCCUCAUGGCCCUUACGUGUUGGGCUACACACGUGCUACAAUGGUAUCUACAACAGGAAGCAAAACAGCGAUGUUAAGCAAAUCCUUAAAAGAUACCUCAGUUCGGAUUGCACUCUGCAACUCGAGUGCAUGAAGCUGGAGUUGCUAGUAAUCCC
rnacentral:rRNA from 1 species